rnacentral:rRNA from 1 species
UACGUAGGGGGCAAGCGUUGUCCGGAUUUAUUGGGCGUAAAGAGCGUGUAGGCGGCCAUACAGGUCAGCUGUGAAAACUCGAGGCUCAACCUCGAGACGUCGGUUGAAACCGUAUGGCUAGAGUCCGGAAGAGGAGAGUGGAAUUCCUGGUGUAGCGGUGGAAUGCGCAGAUAUCAGGAGGAACAUCCGUGGCGAAGGCGGCUCUCUGGGACGGUACUGACGCUGAGACGCGAAAGCGUGGGGAGCGAACAGG